GGAAGAUCUUGGAAUUCCUGUCCAGCUCCAGCUGAUUUUUCUCUUCAUGACCAUAAAAUAAAGCUAUGCUCUCCCAACAAUCAAGAAAUAUCUCUUCAGUUAAGGAAGGAAAGUGCUAUAAAGAAAAGAUGAAAAACAUAUUCUGUGAAUAGAUGAUCUAUGUAAUGCUUACUAAGAUGGAACUGGGAACAAUCCUUACCACCAAAAAGGGAAUGGGGUUCAAGUUAUGCUUGAGAAGAGUCUCCAAAUGCUGGGUGACUUGAUGACUUCUGUGCAGCUCCUAGAGAUACCACCUCCUCCCAGAGCAGUUACAGUCCAUCUGCAUGAGAUAUGCCCUAAACAUAUUUAGAGAUCAUUAGCUUCAGAGAAAACUGCUGUGAGAACACAAUGAAACUUCAAACAAUUUCCCAGGAGACAGAACAGGGAAAAGUGACCCAAUGGGCUAAAAAGAGAUGAAGUAGAAAAAGGAAAGUGACAGAACUAACAAAGGCUAAUAAUGACAAAAACUUGGUAAUAUUGUCAUCACUAAUUUCUUACUGACCAUUAAAUGCUGCAUUUUGCCACCACACCUUUCCUUCCUACCUGAAAUUCUGGAUCAACAAGUUCUCUCUCUUAAUCUUCGCGAAGACAGCCUCAUCUUCAUUCAACAUAUGAUGUUCCCGUACUGAAGACUGGAGCUCCUCAGGCAGGAUGAAUUGGAACUGCUCAACUCCAAUUACCAGGAGUUCUAGGAUCUGCUCCUUGAUGUGACUUUCUGGUCUUGACCCCUUAUAACAAAGUUCCCAGAGUUGGCUUAGAAUCUCCCUGGGUUCAGAUGUCUUCUAGUGGCAGAAUUGUCUAAAGUGUUGGUGGGAGACUUCCUAGCUAGACUGGUUGUUCUGUUGCAAAUUAACUUCUUGUACAAAAAAAAAAAAAAUUGUCUUCAUCUACCUUUAACUACCAUAGGUCCGUCCUGUUUUGCUCCAUCCUGGAUGAUAUAAUCUAUAUCCAUUUUCACUCAGGAGAGGGAUCCCUACAGAUGGGUUUAUGCUCCAGGGAAAAUACCCUUCAAAAAUAUAAAAAGUAUCAUGAAAGAGAAAAACUGUCUUCACUUUAAAAAUCUACUUGUAAUAUUAAAAGUUGUCUAUGCCAUACUAUUUUAAGAGAAGCAUAGGAAAAAGAUUUCUGAAGUUUUGCUAACAGUAAUGCAUUUGA